rnacentral:rRNA from 1 species
CCUACGGGGGGCAGCAGUGAGGAAUAUUGGUCAAUGGACGGAAGUCUGACCCAGCCAUGCCGCGUGCAGGAAGACGGCUCUAUGAGUUUUAAGCUGCUUUUGUACAAGGGUAAACCUGAAUACGUGUAUUCAGCUAAAAGUACUGUACGAAUAAGGAUCGGCAAACUCCGUGCCAGCAGCCGCGGUAAUACGGAGGAUCCAAGCGUUAUCCGGAUUUAUUGGGGUUAAAGGGUGCGUAGUCGGGCUGUUACGUCAGCGGUAAAAGCCCGGGGCUCAACCCCGGCUAGCCGUUGAAACUGGCUGUCUUGAGAUGUCGAGAGGUAUGCGGAAUGCGCAGUGUAGCGGUGAAAUGCGUAGAGAUUGCGCAGAACUCCGAUUGCGAAGGCAGGAUACCGGCGGCGAUCUGACGCUGAGGCACGAAAGCGUGGGUAUCGAACAGGAUUAGAUACCCGAGUAGUC